UUAAACCGCCACUAUACCUACCUACACGCAGAGCGGAGAGAGCUUUAAUUCAACAAAAACAAUUACCACAGUUAUCGACAUUUUUCUGAUCUGAUGGUUGGAUUUAAAUUGACCAAGUCAAGAUAAACGAAAAGUAAACUUGAGCAGCUCAAUUGUUUGUAUAAAGUCCUAAAUCGGACUUUCUUUCUUUUUUGUAAAUGCUCUCGAAUUAAACAACCCAUUACACUCUGGUUAUGAAAACUGCUGUUACAAUUAUUGGCGUCUUAAUUUCUUUGAUAUUGAAGCAAAACUCAGGGAGCUGUCAACAAUCAUACUUAAGCGACUCGAACUGAUUGUUUACAAACAAUGCCGGCCUCUGAUCACGACUUAUCUACACCCCAACACUCUCCAAACAUGCACAAACACCAUCAGACGCUGACGAGAAACAAAUUAGUUAAAAGUAGACCAAGUCUCUUCACCCUUUUAUUUACGGCAUUAACUGGGCUAGCUGUAAUCGUUGUUAUUCCGCCUUUUCUACAGCAACAAAGCAGCGGAAUAAAAAGAUCUGCCAGGUAUGAGCUGCGAUCAUCUGAAAUGAUGUCACAAAAUUCUUUGAGUGACUCAGACUUCCCUUCUUUGCCUCAGCCUCGCAUAUCAAAAGUGGACCGAUCUACAUCUGCGGAGAGAUGCAACAAAAUCAUAAAUUUAUCUAAAUUCAACCGGAGCCAAUCGCAAGAAGACCAAUUGUUCUUUCUAGAAACUUCUGGCAAGACCUUUCUCGACGCCAGACAGUCUUGUUCAGUGGAAUCGGCUGCUCUGAAAUCAGGUCUGGUCUGCAAAGUCCUUCUCAAAUCGGCAAUAUUGAAUUUGUCUAAAACCGAGAGUGUAUGCGAGCUAUUUUACAAUUAUGACAACGUGCAGUUCUACACAAUAGAUUUUGGGAAGUUAU